CGGGGCUCCGGCCAACUCCCGGGGCUGCCCCGGGGCCGCGCCCGCGCUCCGCGGGACCACGGCACGGCUCAAGACUGCAACUCCCAGCGGCCCCCGCGGCACCGCCCGGCAGCCGCCGCCCGCUCUCAUUGGCUGUCACUCCGUCUCGAGCUGGGGGCGUAGCGCGUGACCCCGCCCACUGCCCCUCCCGGCGUUCUUAUUGCAGGAGGAAGGGGCGCGCGCGCACUGCGGAGGGGCGCGAUUGGUCGAGGGACGGGAGUGGGCGUGUCGGGGGCGGGGCCUGCCCUCCCCUGCCCGUCGGCGGGAGGGAGCGGCUGCGGCGGGCGCGGGGCCGCCAUGAGGUAGGCAGGAGCCCCCCUUGGCCGAGUGAGGCAGCAUGGCAAGUGGGAGUCGAGAGGARGUGCUGAAGGUCUGACCUCUCUGGGGCUUCCCGGAGGCCACAGGAUUUGUGUCUCUGUGUGGUGCUUGCUGUGCAGCACAGGCCUCCCCAGGGCUCUCUGGGCUGCCUGUCUGCACUGACAUCUCUCCUCAGCAGUGCUCCUCAUGGCCCACGACUGGCACCAUGCCAGAGCCCACCCUGGUGGCCACGCUGCCCUGCGUGGCUGGUGGCACUGGGGCUCUGUGUUCUGUGGACUGGCAGCUGCCAAUCUCAGCCCCAGCAGGAGCUCGCUGUGGCACACCCAGAGCAGKGCUGGGCCAGCACCAAAGAUGGGCUGAGACUGGCGAGGGUGCAGAGGGCUGUGGGGUCUGCCCAGAGCUGGGCUCAAGCCUUGCUCCUCGCUCUCCUGGGCAGCCUGCAUGGAGGCUGCGUGCCCCGGUGUGAUGGGAGCAUGAGGACGAUGGCAGGACUGAAUGGGGACAUGCAGAGAUCUGUCUGGGAUCUCGGGAUUUGCUCGGAAUGUCACCGGAGCCAGCUGAAGGUGGAGGCAGUAGCCACGCUGGGGAGGAGGAGSACCCCAGGGAUGACAGUGGCCAGCUCAGCAUGGCAAAACAGGGAAAGGGUCGAGUGACUGAUAUCUGCAGCGAUGGAAAACCCUGACAGUGAGAUCUGCAUCCAAGCUUGUUGCUCCAAGAUGGGCUGAGGAAGUUGAAAUCUGAGUCUCGGGCUCGAGUGCUCAGGAGGGGAGAAUUGAUACCACGGCCUGAUCAAGGUGGGAGGCAAAGGAGGUGAGGCCAGACUUCUCCAGCAAUGUAUGGGACAUUUGCUGAAUGAAUGGUGUCUUUGUAAAAUUUCAUCUCCUUCUGGAAAGGCUCAAGAGAAGGUCAGCCUGCCAGCCUGUUCCCUCUCCAGCCAAGAUAGCCCUCCUCAACUGUGAAAGCCAAGGCAAGCUGAUCUGCAAGAUGCCUUCUGUGCCUCUUGAAAAUGCUUUUUUGGUUGUCCUUGUAAAAAAAAAAAGAAAAAAAAAAAAAAGAUUUGCAUAAUAAAGUUGAUUCUGAGGGAAGAUCUGUGACUCACAUCAUUCACGCUGCUCUUCAUUCACACUUCAGUGGUUCAGCCCUCUGUAAACUCUCUCACAGAAACAAGGCAUUAAUAAAUCACGAGGGGAAAAUGCACCUACACAGCACUAAAGGAGCUCAGUGCCUCCAAGCCCAGGAUGGUGUAGCACAGUAGUAGUUGUUUCUUACACCAUGAUCUUGUCCCUGUCGAUAUUUCCAAACACCUUGUUGUAUUGUUUUCACAGCAGGAUACAUGGAAGGUAAAGCCAAAGGAAACUUGCCUUUCUCCCUGGCAAAAAGSUCUUAAGGAAACAAGCUGGUGGCUUUUCACUGACUGUUUUGCUUGAUCUUCACCAAGCUCCUUGUGGAGCCGGUGUUUUGUUAGUGCCAGGCUGGUCAGAAUGGAGAUUCUGUCCCACUGCCUCCUUUGAUGCUGCUGCUGUGUGAGUGGGUUCAUCUUGUUUAUCCAAUGGAAGACUCAGCCUGAGGGUGAAGGAGGUAAAUGGGUUUCUGUGGAUCACCCAGCUGAACUGAUUCRUCUCCCCAAGGGAAGCAGCAGGGUUUUGUGGCUUGGUGGGAAGAGCUGGAACCAGCCUACAAGCUGAGUGUGUUGAACUGGAUUGUGAAAACACUCAUUCAUGAAAUGCGUGUUUGGAUCCUGGAAGGAUCGUGUUUUGUGUGAAGUUUCUGCUCUCUGACCAACAGCUCCUGUGCCUCCUGUGCUGCUACAGGUCCUGGCAGGUGUUKGCCCCCUGCACCCCAUGGAGGUGACCCUCCUGCAGGAUAUGGGGGAGAGCCUUUGAUGGCUCUUGCAGGCAGGAGGGUGCUGUUGCUGCUCCCUCUGCCUUCAGGACUGCAUGCUCUGUGGAGUCUUGAGGAGUCUCCCAGGCUUUGGGAGCAGAGGAAAGUUUGUGAGGCCUCUGCAUCAAAACACAGUGGGGAUGAGAAUGUGAUGCCAUGUGAGGAGAGGUUGCUCAGGGCGCUGGCUUGUGACCCCCUGCGCUGUCCCUGUGUUUUGGGGAUGUUUAUCCUUGUCCCGGGCCUGGGAGAAGACACUGUGGUUUCUGUAGGGCCUGGACAGAGUCCUUGAGCUUGCAUGAGCCCUCGGCAGCUGGCAGCAGGGACAGCAGCUUGCAGCAGGYUGUCGUGUGUUGAGCUGUGUGCUGUGAGUCCCUCUCAGUGCUGGCCCUGUGUCCUGGCAGAGCUCUGUGUCCCAGCCCUCUGGGGUCUUGCUCUCCUGGUGGGAUCUCCCUUGCCCUGCAGCAAAGGGGCARAAAGGUGAAAUCCAUCGAGGACAGGAGGUUGAAAACAAUUAUAUUUUGAGCCUCCUGUCUCUUCCUCAGUUGCUCCGUGUAGCUGCAGCUGCUGCUUCUGAUGUCUCUAGUACCACAGAAGGGCUCCUGGUGCCAUACAUCUCUGGGCAGACCCCAAGAGUCCUGUGCCUCUCUGGGUGUCC